CAUGAGUAGCUCAUCUGGUAGAGCGAUAGACUUUAAUCUAUUUGUAGCCGGUUCGAGUCCGGCCUCAAA
rnacentral:tRNA from 1 species